ACAUCUCAACCUAGUUAAGGCUAUAUUAUAUAGAAGUGUUUAGAGUAGUAAUAAAAAUAGAAGUAAUAAUACUUAUACUAUUAGAAACAUAGACAGCUUUAUCGCAUUAUAUUAUAAUUUUAUUAGUAGCUAAAUUACUAUUCUUCCAUUUAUAUCUUUCGCCAUAAGGUCUAUUCUAAGGUCUACUAGUAGCUAUAUUACCGCCUUGGCUCUUCUUAAAGCUGCCUAGUAUAAUACUAUCUUCUUAUUAUUUUUCUUCGCCUUAAGGUCUACUCUAAGGUCUACUAGUAGGGUGAGAAUCCCGUACGUGGUCGCUAGCUAUUGCCGUGUAAAGCCCCUUCGACGAGUCGAGUUGUUUGGGAAUGCAGCUCUAAAUGGGAGGUAAAUUUCUUCUAAAGCUAAAUAUUGGCCAGAGACCGAUAGCGCACAAGUAGAGUGAUCGAAAGAUGAAAAGCACUUUGGAAAGAGAGUCAAACAGCACGUGAAAUUGUUAGAAAGGGAAGCGCUUGCAGCCAGACUUGCUUGCAGUUGCUCAUCCGGGCUUUUGCCCGGUGCACUCUUCUGUAGGCAGGCCAGC
rnacentral:ncRNA from 1 species